AUGAUUGCCGACGCUGCUCAUGCCAUUGACAUGGCGUGCAAGCCAAGGACGACGCCACUGCAUAAUGCUGGACUCCACGUUACUUCCGAGCCUCUGGAGAAUGCCAGUUUGGAUGAAGACAUUUGGCAAGUAAGGAUCCAUUUUGAUGCAAGAGAACCAUUGGAGAUGAAGCUGUGUGGUUCAGAUAUUACUUAUUUGAAUUUGGUUGCAGUGAUGAAAACCCAAGGAUUUAAUGCAUAUGAUUGUUUGUUUCACAUUGAAAAUCCAUCUUUAGGAGAGAAAGGGCUGGAUUUGGUAGACAGUCAUGCAGAAUUACAGAAGAUAAAGAGGAAGAUCCAGGACAAAUUGGUGCUUGAUUUGCUAGUCAGGGCUUGCCCACCCCCUGUUACUGAAUUUGAGUUGCAGCAAUGUCAAAUGCCAGAGUUGUCCACUGUGGUGUACCAAGAGCCUGUUGUUUUCGAUCUGAGUGAGCCUCCUAUCUUAGCUGUUGAUCAGCAAGGAGUAGUUUUUGAGAGUCAAUGUAGCAACUCUAGCACACCUCAUCCUGCUGGUGUUUGCACACAAGAAAGCAAGAAUGGAACAGCCAAGUUGAAAGCAGUUUUGGAAGAAGAAGAAGAGGGAUAUCAAGGAUUUGAGGCAUAUGAGGACAGUGAUGCUAAUGCCUCUGAUGAGGAUGCUCAAAUUGGAAAUGACCAUCAUUACAUGGGUGAUGAUGAAGAUGUAGAGGUGGAAGAGGGAAAGAGACAGAGAGAGCUAGAAGUACAAGAGGAAGAAUCAGAUGAUGAGCAAUCAGAAGAGGAAGAAAUGCUGCAUUAUGAGGGUGACACUGAAGUUGAGGAACCAUUUGAGGUAGAGGAAGAUAGGACUUUUGAAGAAGAAGAAGAAACUAUAGUUGAACCUGUGAAGAAGAAGCAGAAGCUACCAGUUAAAAGAGGACCAACAACUAGGUCACAUUCUAGUAAGCUACCAGAGGUUGAACCUGAUUUCAGACCAUCCUCGUCAGAUGAAGAAGAGAAGGGGUUGCUGACGGAGAGUGAUGAUGAUGGUUUUGAGCCAGCCUCUUUUGUCCUACCAAAGAAAAGUAAGAGUAGGGCAAAGAAAAGGCCUGCUAGGAAGUGGUACAAUGAGAAAAUGGAGCAACCACAUGAGCAACUGUGUAUGAAGUUGUGUUUUAGGGAUCAACAUCAAUUCAGAGAUGCUUUGUUGAAUUUGCACAUCACUCAGGCCAGGAAUUUUAAGUAUCACAGGAAUUCAGAUCAGAGGAUAAUUGUUCAGUGUCCAGAUAAACAAUGCCAGUUCUUUAUGGUGGCAGCAGUUAUAAAAGGGGAGAAAACCUUUGUAAUUAAGAAGAUGAGACUAGAGCACACUUGCCCUAGUACCACUGAGACCACCAGGGUUAGUGCUAAGUGGCUAGCACAGAAAUAUGAGCAUCUCUUCAGAUCUGAUAUAACUACUGGUAUUCAGACAAUAAUUGAUGCAUGCAUGGAAAAAUAUGGUGUAGAUGUGCCCAAGUGCAUGGCAUAUAGGGCAAAGAACAUAGCUAUUGAAGCUGUCUUAGGAGAUCACAAGAAGCAAUAUCCUAGGCUUAAAGACUAUGCUCAGACUGUCAUGGAUACAAACCCUGGGAGUAGAGUAAUAGUCACUACUGUUACUCCAGUACCAAAUGCAAAAAUACCCCACCCAGGCCCAAGAUUCCAUGCCAUGUUCUUUUGCCUGAAUGGAGCAAGGGAGGGGUUUCUCAAUGGGUGUAGGCCAUUCAUUGGUGUUGAUGGAUGCUUCAUUAAGCUCACUACAGGAGCUCAACUCCUUGCUGCCACUGAUAGAGAUGGCAACAACAACAUAUAUCCACUGGCAUUUGGCAUAGUUGGACAAGAGUACACACCUAGUUGGUGUUGGUUUCUACACCAACUGAAAAUUUGCCUAGGUGGAGAAGUGGGCAAGUUUGGACCUUAUACUAUAAUGUCAGAUAGACAAAAGGGGUUAUUGAAUGCAGUGAAUGCUGUCUUUCCAAAUUGCAACCAAAGAUUCUGCCUUAGGCAUUUAUAUGCAAAUUUCCAAAAUGUUGGGUUUAGGGGUGAAGAUCUUAAGAAGUGCAUGGAUAAUUCUAGCUAUGCCUACAAUGAACACAAAUUUAAUAUUGCAAUGAAUGAUCUUAGAUCUGAAAGUGAGGAAGCUUGGGAGUGGCUUACUGCAAUACCAAAAAAAACAUGGGCAAGGCAUGCAUUUGACACAAACUGCAAGACUGACUUGGUAGUGAACAACUUGUCUGAGGUGUUCAACAAGUACAUUCUAGAUGUUAGGAGAAAACCUGUAAGGACAAUGUGUGAUGGGAUUAAAGAUAAGCAGAUGGUGAGGUGGCAUAGGAACAGAGAGAGUGUAAAGGCAGCAAGAUGGGAUAUAACACCUCAUUACAGUGAGAAGCUAGAGGUUGAGAAGGAGAGGGCCAGAUAUUGCAAGCCAAUACAGGCAGGGGUCAACUUAUGGCAAGUUACAAAUGGGCAGCAAACACAUGCUGUCAACCUGGAACUUGAGACUUGUGGAUGCAGGAAGUGGGACCUUAGUGACAUACCUUGCAACCAUGCCAUCUCUGCAAUAAACAAGGCUAAAAGGAAACCAGAGGAUUAUGUCAGCAAAUUCUUCAAGAAAGAUUUUUAUGCUGCAGCUUAUGAACCAAUGAUCUUUCCUGUGCCUGGUGAGCAUGAUUGGACAAGGACCCCUGGUCCAGACAUAGAACCACCUGCAUUCAAAAUCAAGAGAGGAAGAAAGAAAGAAAAGAGGAUCAAGGGAAAAUUUGAAGUACCAAAGCCAAAAGACACUUCAAGAAUGGGGACCAUAACAUGUGGCAAUUGUGGUCUCCAAGGGCAUAGGUACACAAACUGUCUUAAACAGUUGAAGCCUGAGCUAGCUUUGAGGAAGAAUAAGCAUGUGGCUACUCCAAGUAACUCACAGCCAAGAGCUGCUGGUCCUUCUACUACAACAACAGCAAGACAGCCAAGAGCUGCUGCCAGAGGAGCUGCCACAGGAAGAGGAGCUGCUACUUCUACUACACCACCACCAUCUGGAAGAGGAAGAGGAGCUGCUACUUCUACUACACCACCACCAUCUGGAAGAGGAGCUGGCAGAGGAAGAGGAGCUGGAAGAGGUGCUCCAAGGCCAUUCAGUGCCCCCAGGCAAUAUGCUGACAUUCCUACUGAUGGUACACACACUGGAUGGAUGUCCUACUUCACUGCUAGUAGAGGAAGAGGAGCCAAGUAA
rnacentral:rRNA from 1 species